GACGAACGCUGGCGGCGUGCUUAACACAUGCAAGUCGAACGGAAAGGCCCAGCUUGCUGGGUACUCGAGUGGCGAACGGGUGAGUAACACGUGGGUGAUCUGCCCUUCACUCUGGGAUAAGCCUGGGAAACUGGGUCUAAUACCGGAUAUUACCGACUGUCGCAUGGUGGUUGGUGGAAAGCUUUUGCGGUGUGGGAUGGGCCCGCGGCCUAUCAGCUUGUUGGUGGGGUAAUGGCCUACCAAGGCGACGACGGGUAGCCGACCUGAGAGGGUGAUCGGCCACACUGGGACUGAGAGACGGCCCAGACUCCUACGGGAGGCAGCAGUGGGGAAUAUUGCACAAUGGGCGCAAGCCUGAUGAAGCGACGCCGCGUGAGGGAUGACGGCCUUCGGGUUGUAAACCUCUUUCACCAGGGACGAAGCGUGAGUGACGGUACCUGGAGAAGAAGCACCGGCCAACUACGUG
rnacentral:rRNA from 1 species